CUCCUUUCUGACCCCCCUGGGAGACAGGGGAGUGUUUUGGCUUCCAGCCCAGUCCUCCCAUUAGGGAGCAGAGCGGGGAAGAGGGAAUCUGGGAGACUUCUUCCUCUGCUUCUGUCAUUCCUCGGCCUAUACAGCCAUGAGGGCGAAUGGUGAGCUUAGCCAUCCUAAUAUAGCUGAUCGUCACUGAGCACCAGGUGCCUUCCAAAGAUCAUCUUAUGUCAUCCUCACCAGAAACUUGCAAGGUAAGUAUCAGUGUGAAGACACAGUAAGAAGGCAGCCGUCUGCAAUCCUGGAAGAGGGUUCUCACGCCAACCCUUGCUGGCACCCUGACCUUGGGCUUCCAACAUCCAGAACUGACACAGUGACCCCACAACACCCCUGGGCAAACAGGCAGGGAGAAGUGAAGCUACUUGCCCAAGAUCACCCAGCUCAAAAGGGCCAGAGGACGGAGAAGCUGAGAGGAAACCCCGGUGAAGAAGAGGCAGUUGUGUGGGAGAAGCCUUUGCCGUCUCUGGAGGGCCUUGCAGCCCAAGGGAGGGGCUCUCCGCAGCUCGGAGCCCAGGCCUGGCUGAGGAGGGGGCCAGAAGAUGCUCACAAGCACGCCCUGUGCCUGCGGCCCGCUGCCUGGUGCAGCCCCUCUGCGUGCAAGUAACACUAGAGAAGGAAAGACCCUGGCCUUACUGACCACCUGUCCCAUCACCUGUGAUCGUGGUAGGAUUGGGAGUGGGUCUCAUACCCCCUAGUGACAGAGGCUUUCUCCACCCUGUUGUCCAGCUUCCUGGCUCUGAAAGCUGCCGCCUCAGACAGACAGCUG
rnacentral:lncRNA from 1 species